rnacentral:rRNA from 1 species
UACAGAGACUGCAAGCGUUAUUCGGAUUCACUGGGCGUAAAGGGUGCGCGGGUGGCCGGGUGUGUCAGAUGUGAAAUCCCGAGGCUUAACCUCGGAACUGCGUCUGAAACUACUCGGCUAGAGUACUGGAGAGGGUAACGGAAUUCACGGUGUAGCAGUGAAAUGCGUAGAUAUCGUGAGGAACACCAGAGGCGAAGGCGGUUACCUGGACAGUUACUGACACUCAGGCACGAAAGCAUGGGGAGCAAAAGGG